rnacentral:tRNA from 1 species
GCCUGGGUGGCUCAGUCGGUUGGGCAUCUGCCUUCUGCUCAGGUCAUGAUCCUCGGGUCCUGGGAUCAAGCCCUGCCCCAGGCU